GGAGCUCGUUCUGCGCGACCUUGCAAGCAAAGCAAACUCCUCCGGCCGAAGUUUCCAAAACUCCUCUCGGUUAACUCACUGCAAGUAGAAACCAUUUGUCACGCAGACUAGAGAGGUGUUUUCCGUGCAGCGGCUCUGAACGUGGGGCCGUACCCUUCUGGGCCACCCCGUUUGAGCCGAGCAGUGGUACCGGCGGGCGGGGGGGCCCUGGGCCGUGCUAUGGGAACGCGGGUGGCCGCGGCUGGAAGAGGCACUUCUCCGUUUGUAAAACUGCUGAGCUGGCAGUGACUUGUCUCGUGCUUUGUCCUGCGUAGGGAAUGGCUCGCGGCAACGCAGCGCGUGUGCACCGCGGAGCUCCUGGUGCGUGGCUGCUCCUGGCUACAGCAGCUGCCCUGGCACCGGAGGGAACGGGCCCCUUCACCAACGUGUGUUGUGGGUUAAAGCCCUCAGAAUACUGUGGGUGCGUGGAAUGCGUGAGGCUUUGCCUAUUGCCAGCAGCACGUAGCCCUGUUAUGCUGUUAGUCUUUCUUUCCGUCUUCACGGAGGUAGCUGAGAACAUUCACGUCAUGCUGUUUUCUUCCUCCUUCCUCAGAGAAGGGUUUGCUCACGUGCUUUGUUUUGGCAAUUGGCAUUAUUUCCUUCGGUGUACGCAUUUAUGUAUGUUUAUGUAGAAGUAAGUGUCUACAAAUACAGUGUGCUCGUGCAGAGUUCAUGGUGGUGAGACUUGCUUAGCUCUGUGCCCUAACCCCGUCUCCUGCCCAGAUGAGCGCUGUGCUCCUGGCUGCGUCUUGAAUGUGAGGAACAGAGCUGUCAUCCAGAAAUGCUGUGCUGAGGUCAACAGGAAGGGGGCCCAAGACCUGAGGUUUUACUCAGCAGUCUCCGAGGACACAAAGCAGAAAGCAGAGACAGAUGUCUGAUAGGGAUUGAAUGUGGGAUGGAAGUGUGCAGUGGUCACUGAUGAAAAGUAUAUUUGCUCCCAGGUAGAAUACAGAGAUACUCAUACAUGCUUUUCAGAGAGAUGAGAAACAGCAGUUCUGGAGCAACUGUCAGCAGUUCUGUUAGCAACUGCCACCGUGCUAGUAACUACCAUUUAUUAUACUACUACUACACUGCAUGACAUUUAUUAAAACAAUUAUUAAGACAGAGGCAUUAACUACAUUUAUACUUGCAUCCUCUAAGCAUCUUGCUUUAUAACACCCACCCUACCAAAAAUCAUUGUUCUGACUUGAGAUUCAUUGAGGAAGACAGUUCCUCCAUCAAGUGGUAAGGAAUGUUACAGUGCUGGCUCUGAAUGUAGAUGGAUCUAAUUCGGCUGUUUUUGAAGUGUAUGAUUCCCUAAAUAUGUUUAACCUUCUGUCUGACAUGUUGCCCUUACUGCAAGGAAAAUUUAUCAUUUCCAUAUUUUUUUAUAAAUAGGAUGAAGAUGUUAAUAGUUGCUAAAUUUACAGCAUAAAAACCCAACCAUUCUGUUUCUUUUACCAUCCCUCUUGUAUCAGCAGGCUCCUGGAGCCCUUUGUCCAUAGCUUCUAAAGAAAUAAGUCCAAAAUUUUAAUUUCACUUCCCACUGCAAGUGUUAUCUUAGUUGUUGAGUAAGACCCAGUCUCCCUGCAGGAAGCUGUUAUUAAUUCUAAUUUGAUGAAGCCUUCAUUUUCAACAGUAAUUAUAAUUAUCACCCAGUGUCUACUCACUCUCUUUCUUAGCAGGGGGGAAUAAUGGUACUGAUGGGAAUAAGAGCUCUCUUCCCUUCUCAUUGAGCAUAACUAUCCUUCUUUUUUCUUUGUUUAUAUCAAACUUCUCAAAGCAUCACGGCAUAGAAAUGCCAGUGGACAGCUACCAUUGUAAUUACCUGAUGUACAUUAUUUCUGCAAUCUAGACUGGUAAUACACACACUUCUGAAAAAAAAUUCUAAAUGGACUUGGAAUUGUGAGGCUGUUGGUAAUCAUACUCUGGUAAAGUCUGCAGCAGUGACUUGCAACAUGUGCAGAUAAUGCAGCAUGGAAGCAGAACAUGGAUCCAGCGUGAAUUCUAUCACAAGAUCUCAAGAUGUCAGUGUCUGUUUUGCUGCUGGGACAGAAGGAUGUCACAAGCAGGAAACUCAAAGUCCACUUGCAGAUUGAGACAGACUCUCCAUGACUUUCUGUUGACAGAAGGAAGGACUGAACUCCUUGAUGGCACCUAAGAGAAGGUUGAAAGAAGGUGAUUAAGAAGAUCACAGCUAUAGGACACCUGUACUUCUGUGAGCUUUGGUGUUUUUAGUAACAGUGGACCAUCCUGUGAUCUACAAAACAAAACUGCAAUAACGCCAAUUCUCACUUUUGAUCCUACUCACUGUCCAGUUCCAAAAUCACUGACUUAGCUUGUGGAACUUGAAGAGUAACUCAGUCCUUGCCCUGACAAGAAAUAGUCACCUCAGCAAACCUCAAGAUUUCCCCAGGUCUGGAGUUAGGAAGGUGACAUUAUUCCCAGCAGAGUCCUGAGCCAGUGACUCGUGAUGGAACAGCUAAACAGCUCCCAUACCCAUCUUUGACCAACAGAGUUCUAUCCAGACAUCUAAAUUGUAAACUACAUUCCUCCGAACUUUUGCUUGUCAGCAAAAAAAAAGAAGAAAACAAAUUUGUGCUGAUCUUGCAUGAGUCUUUGCCAGAUUUCCUGUACAAACUCACAAAGAGGAAGCAAAAUCUGAAAGUGAGAUGAGAAAAAGCUUGGAGCCUUCUAAAAUUCAUGGCCAAAAAGCUGAAGAAUGUUCUCUCCACUACUGCUACCAGGCAUUCAGAAAGACAGGCGAACCAGAAAGCUAAAUGCCUGAGUGAUCCCAUGACUGCAAUAAUAGUAAUAAUUAACAAUAAGUAAUUGCCAAUUGUAUUGCCCUUUUCAUUGCAGAGUUUGUGAUGACUUGCUUGUAAAUGUUUUGAGUUAAUGAUAACAUUUCUAUUGACUGUUUAACACAGACAUGUGCUUGAGUUAAGAGAAAAGACUUACAGAAUUUAUAACUAAAAGAUCCUGCAGGAUUUCAGACAUCUAGUUCCCUAGAAAUCUCCUGCUGGGAUUCAAUCUCCAUCUUUCAGGCAAGUCGUUGAUCUCUCAGCAGCUCAGGCACCUGUCUGAGGCUUGCAGUGUGGAUCAUGCAUGAGGAGAGGCUGGGUGCUCUUUCAGCAGCACAUGUGCUUUGGUGAAGGCUCCAUCUACGUGUCUGCAAAGGGAGUAGUACUUAAACCACUGUAAUCAACACAGUUAAAGUGUGCUAUGUGUUGCAAUGGUCUUGCAUGCACGGAUGGAAGGCUGUGCCAGGAAAAAAACAGUUAUUGAAGGAAGAAACAUUCCCUAAAUGCUGAGAAUAAUUAUGUCCAGGUUGUCUGCUUUCUCACUUUAUAGUGAUCUCGGUGUUACUUGCAUUACAUGUGGGAUGUUUCCCCCAGAUUUUUCCAGAUUUUGAACUGUAUUUUCAUCUAUGGUUAACAUUUUAUGAACAUAUUGGUCAGAUGUUCUCUCUCUUCAGCAGUAAUAUAUUCCAUAAUUGUGCAGUUUUAUAGGAAGAUUACAUGGUCUUAAAGUAGAAGUAAUCUCAAAUUAUAUGAAUUGAUAGUGAAAUAGGUAAAUACUCCCACCACUUUAGCUUCUAUGCUUUCCAGACUGUAGAUUUCCAGGAAUUAUGAAAAAGACUAGAAAAAUCGUCAGGUUUCAUGUUUUAAUG